UGAGAAUUGGUGUCUGGCAUCCUGUCUGU
rnacentral:piRNA from 1 species